GACGAACGCUGGCGGCAGGCCUAACACAUGCAAGUCGAGCGAGCGGCGGACGGGUGAGUAAUGCCUAGGAAUCUGCCUGGGCGCGGGGGAUAACGUCCGGAAACGGGAGCUAAUACCGCAUCCUCUCAGCUGUGCACAGAUUGGAUUAGCUAGUAGGUGGGGUAACGGCUCACCUAGGCGACGAUCCCUAGCUGGUCUGAGAGGAUGACCAGCCACACUGGAACUGAGACACGGUCCAGACUCCUACGGGAGGCAGCAGUGGGGAAUAUUGCACAAUGGGCGCAAGCCUGAUGCAGCCAUGCCGCGUGUAUGAAGAAGGCCUUCGGGUUGUAAAGUACUUUCAGCGAGGAGGCGUUACUCGCAGAAGAAGCACUGGCUAACUCCGUGCCAGCAGCCGCGGUAAUUC
rnacentral:rRNA from 1 species